rnacentral:tRNA from 1 species
GCGGGAAUGCUGCGAAAUGGCAUGUUUGCAGGAUUGUGAUUCCUGUCGUCGUGGGUUCGAGUCCCAUCAGCCACCCCA